rnacentral:lncRNA from 1 species
AAGGCUUCAAAAGACAUUGUUCUGAAGCGUUCCUAACGAGUCACUUAUUAUUCUUAAGCGAAACUAGCUCCAACAGUCAUGUCUACAAAAUUAUUGCCCUUUAGGAAGAGCUUCAGGGAAUGUUUGGUACCACGCUGACAACUUUCUUUACUACCCCAGGUUUGCCGCUGGAGUUCCCGUGGUCACACAAGUGGAUGAAGGAAGCGUUGCAGGCGAAGACGACAAAAUGCAAGUAGGAGACGUGCUGGACGACUUGUACGGCGAGGCACUGAAAGGCCGAAAGCGGGGCACAAUCUCGACGCUUCUGGACCACUUCAAGGGCAUGCCAGUAUACCUCUCCGUCAUCAAGAUGUGACCUUCGCCACCUGUAGCAGCCUGCUACGCGUAUGGCGAGGGAAACGCCCCCUGUGCACAUUAAAGGCUUUCUUUCUCUCUCUCUC